rnacentral:rRNA from 1 species
GAUGAACGCUGGCGGCGUGCCUAAUACAUGCAAGUCGAGCGAACGGACGAGAAGCUUUCUUCUCUGAUGUUAGCGGCGGACGGGUGAGUAACACGUGGAUAACCUACCUAUAAGACUGGGAUAACUUCGGGAAACCGUAUCUAAUACCGGAUAAUAUUUUGAACCGCAUGGUUCAACAGUGAAAGACGGUCUUGCUGUCACUUAUAGAUGGAUCCGCGCUGCAUUAGCUAGUUGGUAAGGUAACGGCUUACCAAGGCAACGAUGCAUAGCCGACCUGAGAGGGUGAUCGGCCACACUGGAACUGAGACACGGUCCAGACUCCUACGGGAGGCAGCAGUAGGGAAUCUUCCGCAAUGGGCGAAAGCCUGACGGAGCAACGCCGCGUGAGUGAUGAAGGUCUUCGGAUCGUAAAACUCUGUUAUUAGGGAAGAACAUAUGUGUAAGUAACUGUGCACAUCUUGACGGUACCUAAUCAGAAAGCCACGGCUAACUACGUG